rnacentral:tRNA from 3 species
GGCCAGGUAGCUCAGUCGGUAGAGCAGGGGAUUGAAAAUCCCCGUGUCGGGGGUUCGAUUCCCUCCCUGGCCACCA